GGGGACGUAACAAAGCGACCCAGGAAUGCUUGGGCGUGCCUCCACCCACGCCGGCGUCGGCGGGCGUAUUUCGCCUCACAGUAGGUCGCCGCGACCCGUUGCUUUUGGGGACGUCGAAGGCCCGGACGGAUUGGUACCCUACCGGCUGGGGAUGCGGCUUCGGCUUCUCCUCUUGUCCGGUGGGCGAAACCGCCGGUGUCCUGGCUGCCCUGCGACGGUCGUAGAGACGAGCCCUCCCCUUCGGGGGGGCGGCUCUCGCGGCGUGCAAAAGGUCGGUGAUCCACCCGACCCGUCUUGAAACACGGACCAAGGAGUCUAACAUGUGUGCGAGUCAGUGGGCGCACUAAACCCAGAGGCGUAAUGAAAGUGACACGGGUUCGGUUGUCGCCUCGUGCGGCAGCCGGACUCAGGGCCGAUCCCUCACCGGUUGCCCUCGCCUCUCUCCCGCGUCUCGGUAAGCCGGGUGAGCUAUUUUCCCCGGCCGCUGCUGCGGGGCUCGGGGGUAGGCGGGGUGCGAUGGUGUCCGUAAAAAAGAGCCUGCUGUUGCAGGGGGGCGCAGGCCCGGGACUUGCCAGGACGCCGCGAGACUGUCACUUUGCUGUGAGGCUCUCGGGCCGAUCAGCGGGUCAUGCGUGCAGUCGGCAAGUACCAUGAGCAGACAUGUUGGGACCCGAAAGAUGGUGAACUAUGCCUGGCCAGGAUGAAGCCAGAGGAAACUCUGGUGGAGGUCCGUAGCGAUUCUGACGUGCAAAUCGAUCGUCGGAGCUGGGUAUAGGGGCGA
rnacentral:rRNA from 1 species